UCCACUCUCUCUCUCUCUCUCUCUCUCUCUCUCUCUCUCUCUCUCUCUACAAGCAACAGGGUAGAGCUUUUGCUUCUACAUUUUAACGGUAGCUUCCACGGAGGACACGGCGAGAAGCGCACAACGGAAACCCUAGAUUUUGGAAAUUUUUUGUUGCCUUGUAGGUUUUUUGGUUUUUGCUGUUUGUACUAAAGAUCUCCUUUCUCAAAUUUAGAGGGCUCAAUCUAUCCAGGAGGAUUUCUUCAAUGGAAUAAGAAUCAGUAGAUGGGAAUUAUCUCUAGAUUAUGCAUACAUGCAAUGUUGUGAUGGGUGUCCUAACUAAUAAUCGGAAACGACCUAAUGAUUUAUUCAGUUUAAGAUCUUCUCCAUGUGGAAGUAAAUGUUCAAGUGGGUUUGUUUCUAACUUUGCUGAUUCUGAGCAUAACAGUGCAUUUUGCAAUAAGAGGGCAAGAUUGUCAUCCCUACCUCCAAAUUCAGACCCGAUUCCUUCACAAAACCUAGUCCAGCCAAAGCCCAUUGUUAAUUCUUCCACAUAUCCAUCCCCCGCUCCUUUGCGACGAUCUGUGCUUGGUCCUGUGAGACCUUCAAAGUUUUCAUUGGCAGCCAACCAAGUCACCAGAUCUCACAAUUAUAUGCCAAAUUUCUUUAGGUCUAGUGAGAAACCAGAGGUCCUGGGUGGUGGAUUUGUGGGUAAAAUGGAGAGAGGUUUGACUAGGGUGGUGCAGAAUAUGUAUAAUGGUGCUAAAAAUGAUGCAUUUAGUUUCUUAAGGAGUUCGCGAAAGGACCAGAAUAUUAAUGGCCAUGAAGACAGUUACGUGGACUUGAAUUUGGAAUCUGGUAUCUUGGUGAAUAUGGCAAAUGAAGACAUGCCAGUAGAAGAUUACAGAAGAUUGGUUAGUGCUCAUGUAAGUCGCCAAUGGGAUUUAGAUGAUAAACCGUUUAAGAAAAUAGUCACUGUUGAUUUGCCCAAGCAUCUUCCGCUGCAUUUCGAAAGUUCUAACGAGCCAUCUUCAUCGGGGUCCGGUUUGAUUGCUGCUUCUCAGAAGACUGAUGAGGAUAUAAAAACAGAUUCUUUAACUAGAAGCCAUAAAGAUGGCAAGGUUAGAACUAGUUGUGCGUACAAGGAGUUGCAUGAAUCAGCACAGAAAAGGAAUUCUAACUUGAGCCGUUUGGAACUCGAGGUCAAGUUGAACACUAGGAAAUUUGAAACUCUUAUGUUUAUUUCACAGUCUCAGAAAGAAAAAGUGGAGGAUUCUUUGCAUAAACCUUUGGAGCCUCUCUCAAAUGAAGAUGAAGCCAAUGUCUCCCGUGCUCUGCAGGGUGGUAGUAGGCAUGAAGUUCUUGUUGUACAUAAGAGUUCUAAUAUUGAGAUUACAAGAAGCAUCUUGCAGUGCUUGUUACCAGGUGCCUGGUUGAAUGAUGAGGUGAUAAACUUGUACCUGGAAUUAUUGAAGGAGAGGGAGAAAAGAGAUCCAAAACACUUUUUAAAGUGUCAUUUCUUCAACACAUUCUUUUAUAAGAAGCUUAUCAGUGGGAGAAGUGGUUAUGACUAUAAAGCAGUCAGAAGAUGGACAACCCAAAGGAAGAUAGGGUACGACCUUAUUGAGUGUGACAAAAUAUUUGUUCCGAUUCAUAAGGAGAUACACUGGUGUUUGGCAGUAAUAAACAUAAAGGAUAAAAAGUUACAGUACCUUGAUUCCCUCAGAGGCUUGGAUUCUGAGGUCCUAAAAGUGUUGGCUAGAUAUAUCAAAGACGAAGCAAAGGAUAAGAGUGAAACAGAAGUAGACUUAAGUUCUUGGAUUCAAGGAUGCAUUGAGGAUCUCCCCGAGCAACAAAAUGGAAAAGAAAUUCCUAGGAAUUUCAACAUUUUAUGAAGACGUGCAACUGGUUGCAGAGAGUAGCACUUUAGCUAAAAAAAGACUGGUUCUUCAUCUUCAAGAAAGUUCGGAUUGCGGCAUGUUCAUGAUAAAAUAUGCUGAUUUUUACAGCAGAGGCUUGAAACUGUCAUUCAGCCAGGACAAUAUGCCCUACUUCAGGAGGAGAACAGUCAAAGAGAUUUUAAAUCUAAGAGCAGACGCGUGACAAUCAAAUUUGUGAUGGUAAUGACCUGCCAUCCUGCUUAUGAGAUGAUGCAUUGAUCAUGAGAUGCAUGGAUGAUGGAUCUGUUCUUUUAUGCAUGGUUGCAGCAAACCUGUGUGGUGAACAUUGACUUGAAUCAGGAGAAUUUCAAGGCCUAGUUUUGAUUGACAUGGGCAUGCAUCGACUCCAUGUAUAAGUGACAUGGUCAUGCAUGAACCCCCAUGCAUGGUGUCUGGUGUAAAGUAUGUGCAAGUGAGUGUUCAUUUUGGUUGGCAAGUGUUUUCGAGUUUUCGAGGUCGCCAUUGUGGGCAUUCCAUCGACUCGGGUUUUGUUUUGUUUGUUAGGACUGAUCGAUGGAGGCCUUUUUUUUUUUUCUUUUUUUGUUUUCCCCAUGUUUGGGGCUUCUUGCUAUUGAAUCGAAUUAUAUUAAGUUGCAAUAUUGUUUUAUUUUUAACGCCUUGUAUUAAUGGAGACGAACUUCGGGGGUUUGUACCACGCA